ACAGCUACUUGAGCGGAACGUUUUUUAAUGGAAAUGCUAUUUUAACUUGUUUAUAAUGAGUUGUUCACCGUUUAAAUGUUACUUUAAUAUGUGUACAUUUCUGAAUUUUUCAUAAUUAUCGAUUAGAAAAUCAAGGUUUUGAAAAACUAAAAAAGAAUUCUGCCGUUGAGGGCGUGCGUCAAAAUGACAAUGCUUUGAUGCCAUGUCUAGGAGUUUUCUUUGUUAUACCUCCCAUACCUCCUAUACAAAUUAGAGCUCCGAACUCUGACACAACAUGAGUGAUGACAAAAUGGAGCUUUUCGCGAAUCUUUCAGAAAAGCCCUAGAUAAUUGAGUAUUCAAAAUGAUUGUUUUUCUACACAAUUAAAAUCUAGUUACAGUCAAAUGACUCAAUUUCCUUAUUGAUUGAAAACAUUUUAAAUGAACAUCAGCAAAGUUCAUGAGUUGAAAUUUUCGUUCAAGCAGGCCUUCAAUAUCAUGUUAGAAAUUUAGGGUAAUGCAUGUUAAUAAUUUCCCUGAUUUAUUAUCAUAAUAAGUGUAGGCCCCUAAACACACUUGAAUUGAAAUAACAAUUGAAAACUUUAAAUUUUGAAAAACAUAUGACCUGGCCUAAAUUAAGAAACCAUAAAGAUAUUUGUUUUCUGUUUACUUUCAUGUGCCCCCUUCACCCUGAGUGCACUUGAUGAGUUCAACCAGCCACGUGAUGUUUGCUUCUAGUCUCUGUACGCAUGCACCAGGAGUGAAAUUAGUCUUUACUGAGGUCGCCUCAAGAUACACACCAAUAAUAGGGGGUCAGCAUCGAUGAUCAUCGGUUCCCGGCACUGUAGUCCAGACUGUUGUGUUGGAUUGGAAUCGCAAGAAACAUUAAAUGGAUGUCAUUUAACUGUAAAGGAAAAUAUGCGCAGAUGCGUAUGUAAUGCACUUGAGCACAACGCACUUGCACCAAAUAACUCUGCAUUAUAUUAACCAGCUAACAUUAUUUUUCCACCUCUUUCUUUUCAUGUUGCAUCAUCUCUAAUCCACUAAUUACUCACACUGGAUCAUAUAACAAUGGUUUCAAUUAUGCACCUCAAAUAACCUCCCAAAUAUUUGUAUUGAAUUGAGAUUAUAGAUUUGUUUUUCUUUUCUGUUUUGAUUACCGCAAUGAUGGCACGCUGUGAGCAAGGGCUGAGAUGGCAUCAGAUGGGUGUACUGGUCAAUGGACAACAGUUCACCUCUUUUAGAUUGGUUGAAAGCUGGCGUUUAAACUGACCAAACAGGGAGUGACAAUCAUGGCGCAAGGAGUGACAAUCAUGGCGCAAGGAGUGACAAUCAUGGCGCAAGGAGUGACAUGUGUAGUGACAUCAUGGCGCACUGAGUGACAUCAUGGCGUAGUGACAUCAUGGCGCAGGGAGUAAAAUCAUUGCGUAGUUACCUCAUGGCGCAAGGAGUGUUAUGGUAAGAAGUCGGUGAGAUGUGACAUUUUAAAUGGUAAGUUGACUUACACACAGCAUAUUUAUGAUAAUUAUUAAGAAUGAGACGGAUUAGUUUCAAUCUGAAAGACCAAUAAUUACCAAAUUAUUAUCAAUACAAAUUCUUCCUGAGAAAUACUUCAAUUCAAUUCAACUAUGAAUUUAUUUUCAUAAUGCGAAGUGUACAUUUAUAGAAGUAAAUAGUGAGGUCUAUUAAACAAAGAUAUGUGAAGAAUUAUAAAGAAUAAUAAUUACAUGAGACACAAGGAAAAAGAGCAAAAAUACUUUUAUCUGAAAUACUUAUAUAUAAGAUAUAUACAUGUUGCUUAUUUUGAUUGCUGCAAUCAAAAUAAGCCUAGCGUUAAUGUGGAAGUAAUCAAGAACAAAACAUGAACCAAAGAAUACAAUAACAAAAGUUAUUAUGUGUAUCUUUUUUUAAACGAAUUAACCUUUCUAGUUGUAUUUUAUUUUUUUAAUUGUUCUAACACGUGGCAGUCUUUAUAUGCUUUUUGGAAAAAUAUUCCACAGGUUCAACACUCGGAGAUUCACAUCAGAGGUGUGUCUUGCUGUAAGAAUGACGUCUACUCAUUAACAAGUUAAAGGAUGGAAUACUGGGGUUCAACGCUCAAAGAUUCACAUCAGAGGUGUGUCUUGCUGUAAGAAAAAUGACGUCGACUACUCAUUAACAAGUUAAAGAAUGGAAUCUUGGGGAUUGAAGAUGGAGUGACAUUAUGGCGCAGGGAGUGACAUCUCGGCGCAGGGAGUGACAUCUCGGCGCAGGGAGUGACAUCACAGCGCAGGGAGUGACAUCAUUGCGGCUAUCAGUUGGAACCUGGAGGACCUUGGAUAGGUGUGUAGGGUAAGAAGGCAGUGAGAUGUGGCAUUUCAAAUGGUAAGUUAGACUUAAACGAAUCAUUUUUAUGAUAAUUAUUGAGAAUAAAAUGGAACAGUUUCAAUAUGAAAUCUAAAUAGUUUCCAAAUUAGUAUCAGUAUUAAUUCCUCCCAGGAACUACAUCAAUGCAACUCUAAAUGUAUUUUUAUAAUGCGAAGUGUACAUUUAUAAAUGUAAAUAUAUAGAGGUCUAUUAAACAAAGUGAUGUGAAGAAUUAUAAAGAAUAAUUAUUAAAUGAGACACAAUGAAAAAGAGCAAAAAUACUUUUAUCUGAAAUACUUAUAUAUAAGUGUCAUACACUAGUUGCUUAUUUUGUACCCUAGUGUUAAUGUGGAACUAAUCAAGAAGAAAAAAUUAACCAAAGAACACAAUAACAUAAGUCUAUGUAUAUCUUUCUUUAAACGAAUUCGCCUUUAUAGUUGUAUUUUAUUUUUUGAAUUGUUCUAACACGGGGCAGUCUUUAUGCUUUUUUGGAAGAAUAUUCCACAGGUUCAACGCUCGGAGAUUCACAUCAGAGGUGUGUCUUGCUGUAAGAAGAAUGACGUCUACUCAUUAACAAGUUAAAGAAUGGAAUCUUGGGGACUGAAGAUGAAGUGACAUUACGGUGCAAGGAGUGACAUCACGUCGCAGGGAGUGACAUCAUGGUGCAGGGAGUGACAUCAUUGCGGCUAUCAGUUGGAACCUGGAGGACCUUGGAUAGGUGUGUUAUGGUAAGAAGGCAGUGAGAUGUGGCAUUUCAAAUGGUAAGUUGACUUAAUCAAAUCGUAUUUGUGAUAAUUAUUGAGAAUAAAAUGGAUCAGUUUCAAUCUGAAAGAUCAAUAAUUACCAAAUUAGUAUCAGUACCAAUUCCUCCAGAGAAAUACUUCAAUUUAAUUUUAGUUCAACUCUACAUUUAUAUCCAUAAUGCGAAGUGUACAUGUAUACACAAAAAUAUCUAGUUCUAUUGAACAAUUUGAAGAAAUAUUUAAAUACUAAUACGUGAGACACAAUGAAAAAGAGGAAAUAUACUUCUAUCUUAAAUACUGAAGUGUCAAGGAAUUAGCAUUUGAAGAUUCAUACAUGUUGCUUAUUUUGACUGUUGCAAACAAAUAAACCUAGUGUUAAGAUGUUCUAACACGAGGCAGUCUGUAUGCUUUUUGGAAGAAUACUCCACAGGUUCAACGCUCAGAGAUUCUCAAAGCUCAGAGGGAUGACAUCUACUCAUCAAUGAGCUGUCACUGGGAACCAUGACAACAUUGAGCUGUGUCGCUCUGUGAGGGAUGUACAUCUACUCAUCAAUGAGCUGUCACUGGGAACCAUGACAACAUUGAGCUGUGCCGCUCUGUGAGGGACGUACAUCUACUCAUCAAUGAGCUGUCACUGGGAACCAUGACAACAUGGAGCUGUGCCACUCUGUGAGGGACGAACAUCUACUCAUCAAUGAGCUGUCACUGGGAACCAUGACAACAUGGAGCUGUGAGGGACGUAGAUCUACUCAUCAACAAGCUGUCACCAGGAAUCAUGACAACAUUGAGCUGUGCCGCCCUGUGAGGGACGUACAUCUACUCAUCAAUGAGCUGUCACCAGGAACCAUGACAACAUUGAGCUGUGCCGCCCUGUGAGGGACGUCAACUACUCAUCAAUGACCUGUCAACAUGAACCAUGACAACAUUGAGCUGUGUCGCUAUGUGAGGGAUGUACAUCUACUCAUCAAUGACCUGUCAACAUGAACCAUGACAACACGGAGGUGUGCCUCUCUGUGAGGGACGUACCUAUACUCAUCAAUGACCUCUCAACAGGAACCAUGACUACAUUGAGCUGUGUCACUGUGUCAGGGACAUACAUCUACUUAUCAACGCGCUGUCAAUGGGAACCAUGACAACACGAAGGUGUGCAGCUCUGUGAGGGAAGGACAUCUACUAAUUAACGAGCUGUCAACAGGAACCAUGACAACAUUAAGCUGUGUCACCGUGUCAGGGACGUACAUCUACUCAUCAGCGAGCUUUGCCUCUCCGUGAGGGUCGUACAUCUACUCAUCAACAAGCUGUCAACAGGAACCAUGGCAACAUGGAGCUUUGCCUCUUCGUGAGGGUUGUACAUCUACUCAUCAAUGACCUGUCAUCAGGAACCAUGACAACAUUGAGCUGUGUCACUGUGUCAGGGACAUACAUCUACUCAUCAACGAGCUGUCAAUGGGAACCAUGACAACAUUGAGGUGUGCCGCUGUGUGAGGGAUGACAUCUACUCAUCAUAGCGCUGUCAAUGGGAACCAUGACAACAUGGAGCUGUCAACAAGCUGUAAACAGGAACGGAGAUGUGCUGUUGUGCGAGGGAUGUACAUGUACUCAUCAACAACUUAGUCAAGGCAAAGUCAAGAUUGUCAAGAAAUCGUUCUGAUGCAGUGUUCCUCCAACAGCAUGGCGAUUGAAGGCAUCAAACCGGGUUGUGGCUUGGCUAGAGGGAAUGACAUCCAAGUACUUACUACCAAUCUGCAGUAAGCAACUUCAAGGUUAUCAUCUGGAUUUGCUAAGAUGUUUGCUUGAUGUCAACAUGGAACACAAAGACGCUGAUGAUGUAGUCUUGUCGGAGGUCAGGAGAGGUUGUCUUUGUACUUGCUUGUCAGAAGAGGUCGUCUUUGUACUUGCAUGUCGGAGGUCAGGAGAGUGACGUCUUUGUACUUGCAUCUACUCACCACUUAGAUGGGCAGAACUAACUGCUAGAAACAUCUGACUGACGAAGGCUGUGUGCUCCUUUGAUGAUGUUCACUGAUAAGAUUAAGAUCAUCUGAUGAGCAAGGUUUGAUGAGCCAAGAUGCCAUGCUGUUUUACUUCUUCAAUACUUCCAAGAAGGACCAGUUCUUCUUGAUGUAGCGAGAAUAUGAUGUUCAGGGAAGUCCUGUUCGUCAGUCGUCAAACCAAGUACAACAGAUAAACGGAGGCAGUUCACAGCAUGAGAUCAUUCAUGCACAAGAUAAUUGCUAGGACGGAACAUUAAUAUCUAUAGAUCAUAAUGUCGUUAAACAAUUUGACUCCCUGAACUCGGAAUCAACUGUUCGAAGUGGACAUUUAGUGAAACAUUUGAGUAAUUCAUCUGAGGAUGCGAACAACAUUGAACAUUUGAUUUUGACGUCUUCAUUGCGAACAACUCUUCAUAUGGACAAAGAUGUAGGACUUGAUCUUCCAGAAAUCAUCUGCAGCAAGAUUGAACUUCAGCACAAGAUGAUCAUCUUCAGGAACAAUGAAGAUUGUUCACUAAGAAGUUUACUAAGAAUGUUGUCAACAUACUUGCAAUGAGGUACUUCAUUGCAAGUAUCUUGACCAAAUACAUGUAUAUUACUUGUACAUGUAUUUCUAUGAACGAUUGCAUUCUUGUAAUGAGGUACUUCAUUACAAGUAUGCAAGAAUAUCAUAAUUUGCAAUGAAGUACCUCAUUGCAAGUAUGAUUAAGUUUUAUGCUGGUUUAUGAAGUACCUCAUUACAACGUUGAUAAGUAAAGCAGGGGUUUAUCACUAAACAUAUUUUGUCAGGAUCAACUAAACUGUAUUAAAUCUCUUGUAAUGAGAUGCAGUGGUAUAUUG